CAUAACAGCCAUCGUUAAUGUUUCCAGCGUCCUCUUCACAUCAUCUUGAAAGAAAAGCAGAUACAAAAGUGCGCAUGCUCUUUUGCUAUGCUAAUACGGGACUUGAGUGAACAGUUUGGAGAAUUGAGAAUACCGGCUGCCGGAGAAUAGACGUCGUGUUGCAUUCUAUUUGUUGUUAUGCUUGUCCACUUCUCAUAUUGGAUUGUAUUCUGAAUUACUAUCUACUUGCCUACCCGGAAAUGGAGCGUCUGAAUUAAUCCUCCAGAGCAUAUUGCAAAGCAGAAAAAUUAUCAGUAAAAGCAAAGAAACAGGAAGUUGUCAAGGAGAAGAAGAAAGACAUUUGGAGAGACUUAGAUGAAGAACACUAUAUUAUCACAGAAAAUCUGGACGAAAAGAUUGCAGAAGCAUUGGAAAAUCCUAGGGCCUUCAACUUUGCGCUCACUCUAUUAGGUGAAGGGCUGACUGCAGAACCAAGAAAACACGACUUAUUGCCAGUACAAGGAUGAUAAUAGUGAUGUUUUGAUUACUAAUUUAUUCUGUAUCUAGACUUGUGUGAUCAGUAGCUAUAACAUUUAUAUUUACAUUUUGUGAUGUUGAAAUGAGCAAUUGUAGUGCAUAUUGCAUUUUGUGUUAUCUAAAUACCUCAAAUGCUGUUCCUUUGCUGUUCUAGAUUAUUUGUAUUGAGCAGGUUAUGUUAAUUGUAUGAAACGAGA